GCGUUGUCCGGAUUUACUGGGCGUAAAGGGCGCGCAGGUGGCUUGUUGGGUUCGUCGUGAAAGCCCGGGGCUCAACUUCGGGUGGUCGGCGGAGACCGGCGGGCUUGGAGGCUGGUAGAGGGAUGCGGAAUUCCCGGUGUAGUGGUGAAAUGCGUAGAGAUCGGGAGGAACACCAGAGGCGAAAGCGGCAUCCUGGGCCAGAACUGACGCUGAGGCGCGAAAGCGU
rnacentral:rRNA from 1 species